UAACUUACACCUUGCAGGGGAAAUACCAUGUCAUAAAAAUGGUUUUCCCAGGGGAAGGCUCAUCCAUUGCACUUUGGGUGUGUUGCUGAUCCCUGUGAUUUCCCUAAAUGUGGGGAACUCAGCUGCAUAAUUUAUUUUAAUGAGAGGAUUACAUUUAUGAUUUCCCUGU
ensembl:snRNA U1 U1 spliceosomal RNA